rnacentral:rRNA from 1 species
AUUGAACGCUGGCGGCAGGCCUAACACAUGCAAGUCGAGCGAGCGGCGGAAGGGUGAGUAAUGUAUGGGGACUGCCCGAUAGAGGGGGAUCACUACUGGAAACGGUUGCUACUACCGCAUACUAUCGGAUAACCCAUAUGGGAUUAGCUAGUAGGUGGGGUAAAGGCUCACCUAGGCGACGAUCUGUAGCUGGUCUGAGAGGAUGAUCAGUCACACUGGGACUGAGACACGGCCCAGACUCCUACGGAGGCAGCAGUGGGGAAUAUUGGACAAUGGGCGAAAGCCUGAUGCAGCCAUGCCGCGUGUAUGAAGAAGGCCUUAGGAUUGUAAAGUACUUUAAGUGGGGAGGCGUUACCAACAGAAUAAGCACCGGCUAACUCCGUGCCAGCAGCCGCGGUAAUUC